AACGAACGCUGGCGGCAGGCCUAACACAUGCAAGUCGAACGGGACCUUCGGGUCUAGUGGCGGACGGGUGAGUAACGCGUGGGAACGUGCCCUUUGGUUCGGAAUAGCCUCGGGAAACUGGGAGUAAUACCGGAUACGGUCGAGAGACGAAAGAUUUAUCGCCGAAGGAUCGGCCCGCGUUGGAUUAGGUAGUUGGUGGGGUAAAGGCCUACCAAGCCGACGAUCCAUAGCUGGUUUGAGAGGAUGAUCAGCCACACUGGGACUGAGACACGGCCCAGACUCCUACGGGAGGCAGCAGUGGGGAAUCUUAGACAAUGGGGGGAAACCCUGAUCUAGCCAUGCCGCGUGAUCGAUGAAGGCCUUAGGGUGUAAAGAUCUUUCAGUGGGGAAGAUAAUGACGGUACCCACAGAAGAAGCCCCCGGCUAACUAACGUGCCAGCAGCCGCGGUAAA
rnacentral:rRNA from 1 species